GAUGAACGCUGGCGGCGUGCCUAAUACAUGCAAGUCGAGCGAACGGACGAGAAGCUUGCUUCUCUGAUGUUAGCGGCGGACGGGUGAGUAACACGUGGAUAACCUACCUAUAAGACUGGGAUAACUUCGGGAAACCGUAGCUAAUACCGGAUCAUAUUUUGAACCGCAUGGUUCAAAAGUGAAAGACGGUCUUGCUGUCACUUAUAGAUGGAUCCGCGCUGCAUUAGCUAGUUGGUAAGGUAACGGCUUACCAAGGCAACGAUGCAUAGCCGACCUGAGAGGGUGAUCAGCCACACUGGAACUGAGACACGGUCCAGACUCCUACGGGAGGCAGCAGUAGGGAAUCUUCCGCAAUGGGCGAAAGCCUGACGGAGCAACGCCGCGUGAGUGAUGAAGGUCUUCGGAUCGUAAAACUCUGUUAUUAGGGAAGAACAGAUGUGUAAGUAACUGUGCACAUCUUGACGGUACCUAAUCAGAAAGCCACGGCUAACUACGUG
rnacentral:rRNA from 1 species